rnacentral:rRNA from 1 species
UACAGAGGAGCCAAGCGUUGUCCGGAUUGACUGGGCGUAAAGCGCACGCAGGCGGAUGCGCGCGUGGGGUGUGAAAUCUGGCCGCUUAACGGCCAGGCGCCAUCCCAUACGGCGCGUCUGGAGUGAUGCAGAGGUCGGUGGAAUUGCCGGUGUAGUGGUGAAAUGCGUAGAGAUCGGCAGGAACACCCAGGUGGAAACCAGCCGACUGGGCAUCUACUGACGCUGAGGUGCGAGAGCGUGGGGAGCGAACCGG